AUCGCAGGGUAGCUAUGUACGGAAGAGAUAACCGCUGAAAGCAUCUAAGCGGGAAACUUGCCUGAAGAUAAGAUCUCCCGGAGGUUUAACCUCCAUAAAGGGUCGUUGAAGACCACAACGUUGAUAGGUCAGGUGUGGAAGCGCAGUAAUGCGUUAAGCUAACUGAUACUAAUUGCCCGUUAGGCUUGAUCCUAUAACC
rnacentral:rRNA from 1 species